AUUGAACGCUGGCGGCAGGCCUAACACAUGCAAGUCGAGCGGAGCGGCGGACGGGUGAGUAAUGCCUAGGAAUCUGCCUGGUAGUGGGGGAUAACGUCCGGAAACGGGCGCUAAUACCGCAUACUAUCAGAUGAGUCUAGGUCGGAUUAGCUAGGUGGUGGGGUAAAGACUUACCAAGGCGACGAUCCGUAACUGGUCUGAGAGGAUGAUCAGUCACACUGGAACGUAGGAACGGCCCAGACGCCUACGGUAGGCAGCAGUGGGGAAUAUGGGACAAUGGGCGAAAGCCGGAUCCAGCCAUGCCGCGUGUGUGAAGAAGGUCGUCGGAUUGUAAAGCACUGUAAGUUGGGAGGCGUUACCAACAGAAUAAGAACCGGCUAACUUCGUGCCAGCAGCCGCGGUAAUUC
rnacentral:rRNA from 1 species